rnacentral:rRNA from 1 species
UCUACAAUCUCCACUGAGAAGCUGGCGCGCGUCGCCGUGCGCCACGACCUCUACCCGCUGCUCCGACGCAACUGCCCUCGCCUCGAUCUCUUGGUAGGACAGUUUAUCCAGUCAGUGAAACAAGAGUUAGAGGAUGACCUUGGCACUACGCCCUAUGGUGGCACUGUAUUUAAGGCUCCCAAGGUGCUUGCUGAUAUAGUUGAGGCCAUUGCCGCUGCUGUCUAUGUGGAUUGCAACUUUAAUCUUGAAAAGAUCUGGAAGGUAACAAGGUUCCUCUUUGAGCCCAUUGUCACGACAGAAACAAUAGAUGAGCAACCUGUGUCUACGUUGCAUGAACUGUGCCAGAAACAUGGGAAAGAUGUAAAAUUCAAGACUUGGCAGAAGGGUGGAACAGUGGUUGUAAAUGUAUUUGUUGGUGGGGCACUUGUUGGGAUGGGCUCCUCAGAGCAGAUGGUAAUCGCUAAGCUCAAUGCCACCCGGGAUGCACUAAGCAAGCUUCUUGGUGGAGGCAAUCAGCAAGUGUCGACAACUGGAGUUAGCCAUGGAUUGGGGGUUGAGGUUGGAGAGCUUAGGGAAUGCAAGCAGAAGCUUAUUGAGCAGUGCAGCAGGAAGCAUUGGCCAAAACCCAUCUUUAAGUAA